rnacentral:rRNA from 1 species
CCCAUGGAUCAAUGGGCGAAAGCCUGAUCCAGCCAUGCCGCGUGUGUGAAGAAGGUCUUCGGAUUGUAAAGCACUUUAAGUUGGGAGGAAGGGUUGUAGAUUAAUACUCUGCAAUUUUGACGUUACCGACAGAAUAAGCACCGGCUAACUAUGUGCCAGCAGCUGCGGUA